GCCACCUUAGCUCAGCUGGUAGAGCAGUGCUUUCGUAAAGCAAAGGUCCCGAGUUCGAAUCUCGGAGGUGGCUCCA
rnacentral:tRNA from 1 species